AUUGUGUGUCUUAUCGCAUAGCAACGCCAGUCACUGCUAUAGUUACAUUGAUUAUUUAUUUUAAUAAAAAAUAUGCCUACGCUUAAUAGGCUUAUGUACAAAAUGAGUUGCUUCAGGUUAAUGGCGCACAAAUUUUAUAAGCUUUAGCUAUUCACAUAAACAAUGUAUUCAUUUAACCUUCGAUUUUUCAACACAAUAUUCAUUGUGAUCUUUGUUCACAUCAUGUCUGAAUUACAAAAGGAUCACUAUAAUUGUUGAUUUUAUUCUUUGCAGGUCGUGCAGUCGCUUAAGGCAGCAACACCACGAACCUUACUGGAAUAUAGUAUAAUAUAUAACGGUAUUGGAGUGCAUGAUGGAGUGCAUUUCAUUGUGGCAUUUCAGGUAUUAUAUUAUCAUAUCCGAGCUUAUCAGUGGACCUUUCAGUUACUGGAAGACAACCAUUAUUUUUGUUUGUACGUAUAUAGCUACUCCUAAAUGUAAGCUGUGGCAUAACAUAAGGUAUUUAGUACCUCCGUUGCAAAUGCAUUUGAAGCUCAAGGGAGAUCAGACACUCAAUCAACGCAGAAGUUCGUUCGCUUUAUUGACCAAUUCUUCGAUUGUUUGAAUGUUAAAUUCAAGAAUUCAAAAGAACAAGAUGAUCAAACAUGCUUUGAAACCUUACAGCACAGUAGAUGUUUGGAGUUUUGAAUGGCUUGAAGGAGAAUAUUUUAUUGUUCUUUGAUGAGUGGGAAGAACAAGUAGAAGGUUUAGACAGUUUUACACCUUCAAUGAAGAAGAAAAUGUGAAUCUCUCGUCAGUGGCAUCCGUAUCUCAGGUAAGUACAA